rnacentral:rRNA from 1 species
UACGUAGGUGACAAGCGUUGUCCGGAUUUACUGGGCGUAAAGAGCGCGCAGGCGGUCGUGCAAGUCGCGUGUGAAAGCCCCCGGCUCAACUGGGGAGGGUCACGCGAUACUGUUCGACUCGAAGGCAGGAGAGGGAAGCGGAAUUCCCGGUGUAGUGGUGAAAUGCGUAGAUAUCGGGAGGAACACCAGUGGCGAAGGCGGCUUCCUGGCCUGUUCUUGACGCUGAGGCGCGAAAGCUAGGGUAGCAAACGGG